rnacentral:lncRNA from 1 species
AAUGACUGGUUUCACGUGUCCAUCCAUGUCUGAAUCAGCUGUUACUGUCCUUGUUGCAGUUUCUGUCCAUGGUGGUCUGAUAUCUCAAAGCUGAUCAAGUUCCUGGUGGGUCUCCUGUCUCAAGCAGUAGAGUGGGAGGAGCAGUCAGGAGAGAAGACACUGAAGCUGGUAUCAUCAGUGUGUACUUACAGAACCUUCCCUUUCUGUGACGGGGAUGAUGAGGAUGAGUGGUUUCAAUGUGAUCUCCUGCUGGAUCUGUACUCACAUGUGGAGGACUAUGAGACUAAAACAGGCAGGAGUGUCCUUCCAUCAUUGAGACCACUUUAUCAGUCAGCUCCUGCAGUCUGGUCCAUAGACCUCUCAGAGAGAAAGGCCUCCCUCCUCCUAGAAGUGCUGAAACUCCAACCAGAGAAGAAACCAGUACAGCUGAAAGGCUGGUCAGAUGAAGAGAGUGAAGUGAGGAGUUUCCUUCAGUGUCUGCCUUACAUCUCACAGCUGAGGUGAGUUGGAUCAGUACAGCUCAGGUGAGUUGGAUCAGUACAGCUCAGGUGAGUUGGAUCAGUACAGCUCAGGUGAGUUGGAUCAGUACAGCUCAGGUGAGUUGGAUCAGUACAGCUCAGGUGAGUUGGAUCAGUACAGCUCAGGUGAGUUGGAUCAGUACAGCUCAGGUGAGUUGGAUCAGUACAGCUCAGGGAUUGUUGUCUGUCCCUGUAUUUCACUUUUAAAAAGGAAGUUUGUUCGUAACAACCGAAUAUGCUAAACAUACACAUACUGUUUUGGAAAGAUACAAUCUUACUUUGUGGUGAUGAUUAUAAGGAACAGUUGAAGUGGAUGAUGAGUUUAGAAAGAUACAGUCUUACUUUGUGGUGAUGAUUAUAAGGAACAGUUGAAGUGGAUGAUGAGUUUAGAAAGAUAGUCAUGUUAUUUGACCUGCUAUAAUGUGACCAUCUGAAAUGCAGAUUAUAUCUCACAUAUUCAUCUAUUUGUUGUUAAACUGUUCAUGCAGUUUUACUCCACCACAGUAUCAGAGAAGAUCCCCUGAAGAGUGGAGAAAGAGAGAGAAGACAUUCCUACUGAAUCUGUGUCUUCAAGCAGCCCUCCAUGAGAGAGAAACCAUACAAACAACUGUAGGGAAAGUGUUGUCACUGUCUGAAGUUUAUCAGGGUCGGAAAUGGGAUCUCCUGCUGGAUCUGUACUCUCACGUGAAGGACUAUGAGACUAAAACAGGCAGGAGUGUCCUUCCAGCAUUACAGCCAGUUUACCAGUCAGCUCCUGCAGUCUGGUCCAUAGACCUCUCAGAGAGAAAGGCUUCCCUCCUCCUUGAAGUGCUGAAACUCCAACCAGAGAAGAAAUCAGUAGAGCUGUGGGACUGGUCAGAUGAAGAGAGUGAAGUGAGGAGUUUCCUUCAGUGUCUGCCCUACAUCUCACAGCUGAGUUUUACUCCACCACAGUAUCAGAGAAGAUCCCCUGAAGAGUGGAGAAAGAGAGAGAAGACAUUCCUACUGAAUCUGUGUCUUCAAGCAGCCCUCCAUGAGAGAGAAACCAUACAAACAACUGUAGGGAAAGUGUUGUCACUGUCUGAAGUUUAUCAGGGUCGGAAAUGGGAUCUCCUGCUGGAUCUGUACUCUCACGUGAAGGACUAUGAGACUAAAACAGGCAGGAGUGUCCUUCCAGCAUUACAGCCACUUUACCAGCCAGCUCCUGCAGUCUGGUUCAUAGAUCUCAGAAAGAGAAACGUCUCCCUCCUCCUAGAAGUGCUGAAACUCCAACCAGAGAAGAAAUCAGUAGAGCUGUGGGACUGGUCAGAUGAAGAGAGUGAAGUGAGGAGUUUCCUUCAGUGUCUGCCCUACAUCUCACAGCUGAGUUUCUGUCCAUGGUGGUCUGAUAUCUCAAAGCUGAUCAAGUUCCUGGUGGGUCUCCUGUCUCAAGCAGCAGAGUGGGAGGAGCAGUCAGGAGAGAAGACACUGAAGCUGGUGUCAUCAGUGUGUACUUACAGAACCUUCCCUUUCUGUGACAGGGAUGAUGAGGAUAAGUGGUUUCAAUGUGAUCUCCUGCUGGAUCUGUACUCACAUGUGGAGGACUAUGAGACUAAAACAGGCAGGAGUGUCCUUCCAUCAUUGAGACCACUUUACCAGUCAGCUCCUGCAGUCUGGUCCAUAGACCUCUCAGAGAGAAAGGCCUCCCUCCUCCUAGAAGUGCUGAAACUCCAACCAGAGAAGAAACCAGUACAGCUGAAAGGCUGGUCAGAUGAAGAGAGUGAAGUGAGGAGUUUCCUUCAGUGUCUGCCUUACAUCUCACAGCUGAGUUUUACUCCACCACAGUAUCAGAGAAGAUCCCCUGAAGAGUGGAGAAAGAGAGAGAAGACAUUCCUACUGAAUCUGUGUCUUCAAGCAGCCCUCCAUGAGAGAGAAACCAUACAAACAACUGUAGGGAAAGUGUUGUCACUGUCUGAAGUUUAUCACAAUCAGAAAUGGGAGCUCCUGCUGGAUCUGUAUUCUCAUGUGAAGGACUAUGAGACUCAAACAGGCAGGAGUGUCCUUCCAGCAUUACAGCCAGUUUACCAGUCAGCUCCUGCAGUCUGGUCCAUAGACCUCAGAAAGAGAAUGGUCUCCCUCCUCCUAGAAGUGCUGAAACUCCAACCAGAGAAGAAACCAGUACAGCUGAAAGGCUGGUCAGAUGAAGAGAGUGAAGUGAGGAGUUUCCUUCAGUGUCUGCCCUACAUCUCACAGCUGAGUUUCUGUCCAUGGUGGUCUGAUCCCUCAAAGCUGAUCAAGUUCCUGGUGGGUCUCCUGUCUCAAGCAGCAGAGUGGGAGGAGCAGUCAGGAGAGAAGACACUGAAGCUGGUGUCAUCAGUGUGUACUUACAGAACCUUCCCUUUCUGUGACGAGGUUUAUUUUGAUGAGUCGUUUCAAUGGGAUCUCCUGCUGGAUCUGUAUUCACAUGUGAAGGACUAUGAGACUCAAACAGGCAGGAGUGUCCUUCCAGCAUUACAGCCAGUUUACCAGCCAGCUCCUGCAGUCUGGUUCAUAGAUCUCUCAGAGAGAAAGGUCUCCCUCCUCCUAGAAGUGCUGAAACUCCAACCAGAGAAGAAAUCAGUAGAGCUGAAAGGCUGGUCAGAUGAAGAGAGUGAAGUGAGGAGUUUCCUUCAGUGUCUGCCCUACAUCUCACAGCUGAGGUUUGCUCCACCACAGGAUCAGAUAGGAUCCCCUGAAGAGUGGAGAAAGAGAGAGAAGACAUUCCUACUGAAUCUGUGUCUUCAAGCAGCCCUCCAUGAGAGAGAAACCAUACAAACAACUGUAGAGAAAGUGUUGUCACUGUCUGAAGUUUAUCAGGGUCGGAAAUGGGAUCUCCUACUGGAUCUGUACUCUCAUGUGAAGGACUAUGAGACUCAAACAGGCAGGAGUGUCCUUCCAGCAUUACAGACAGUUUACCAGUCAGCUCCUGCAGUCUGGUCCAUAGACCUCAGAGAGAGAAAGGUCUCCCUCCUCCUAGAAGUGCUGAAACUCCAACCAGAGAAGAAAUCAGUAGAGCUGAAAGGCUGGUCAGAUGAAGAGAGUGAAGUGAGGUGUUUCCUUCAGUGUCUGCCCUACAUCUCACAGCUGAGUUUCUGUCCAUGGUGGUCUGAUAUCUCAAAGCUGAUCAAGUUCCUGGUGGGUCUCCUGUCUCAAGCAGCAGAGUGGGAGGAGCAGUCAGGAGAGAAGACACUGAAGCUGGUGUCAUCAGUGUGUAUUUACAGAACCUUCCCUUUCUGUGACGGGGAUGAUUUUGAUGAGUCGUUUCAAUGUGAUUUCCUGCUGGAUCUGUAUUCACAUGUGAAGGACUAUGAGACUCAAACAGGCAGGAGUGUCCUUCCAACAUUACAGACAGUUUACCAGUCAGCUCCUGCAGUCUGGUCCAUAGACCUCUCAGAGAGAAAGGCCUCCCUCCUCCUAGAAGUGCUGAAACUCCAACCAGAGAAGAAACCAGUAGAGCUGAAAGGCUGGUCAGAUGAAGAGAGUGAAGUGAGGAGUUUCCUUCAGUGUCUGCCCUACAUCUCACAGCUGAGCUGUGAUUCUGACAGGUUCUUCCAGCGUGUGUGUGAAUCCAUCCCUGUGAGGUCCAGAGAGGAUGCCCAGCAGUUGGCCUCUCUCCUCCAGGCCUUGGGCUCCACCCUGUCACUGGGAGGACAGUUACCCAGGAAAACCUGCAGGUCUGUGGUGAGAGUGCUUGGCCUCUGUGCCUCCAGAGUGGACCUCACUCUCACCCCCAGCAAGAUCUCUCUGAAAGGAGCCUCACUUCUCUUCACACAUGUAUCACAGCUACACAAGCUCAGGCUGAAUGUGGGCAUGGCAGUGAGACUGGCCAGACUGGCUAGGAGGACAGGGAGAGGGGGUUCUCCACUGACUGUCCCAGAGCUCUCCCUGGUCCUAAAGAGCAGCCAGCCACCAGAGAAAGUGUUAUCCAGGGCUCUGAGUAGUGUGGCGUCCCUGCUGAGACUCUGGACGGUGCAGUGUCUGGACCUGACUGACUUCUGCAUCCAGGGUCACUCUCUCAUCACACUACUUUGUCACCAAGGCCCUCUCACUCUCAGACUGCACUCAGACACCCUGCAGCAGCUGGCUGUAGUUGUGUAUGAAGCUCAGGACAAGGACUUGACUCGGUGGUUCCUGGAGAAGGUUGGUGGAGACCUGACCUCCUGUAGGCUGGACUGGGAGGUGCUUCUCUCUCUGCUGCAGCAUUCAACCCACAACAUCACAGUGGACCUCAGGAAGAACAGGCUUCUAGAGAAGAACAUCUCAGAUCUUUUCCCCUUUCUGGGAAGGGUUAUAUUCAAGAGGCUCAGUUCCAGCUUUGUGAAGUCCACCAUCAGACAGAUCUAUGACAGUAGAGCCAGUGACUGUGUGUCCAGUUUGUUGAGGUCUUCAGACCAUUGGAUCAACCUGAACAGCAGAGAGCUGGACAGAGUGGACUGUACUGCGCUGUGUUUCACCCUGCAGCACAGCCACCAAGUCAAAGUCAACCUGCUGUGGACCUCCAUACCACCGGGGGAGAUAGAGAGCAUCCUGCCUCUUCUGGACAGAGUCUCCCAACUCAGUGUUGACAGGAUGCUGUUGCUGAGUUUCCUCCACUCCUGCGCUGCCUCUCAGAUCCUGCAGGGGGCACUAUCACCACCUUCAGCAAUAACAACAGCAGCAGCAGAGCUGCUCAGGGCUCUGCAGCACAGGUUGGACUUCUCCUGCUCCUCCUCUGUGGACCUGUCGGCUCACGACCAGGGGGAGGCGCUGUGUCUGACCACUGACCACUGUAGGGCCAUAAACUCUGUUCUGAAGCAGAGCCAGCACAGCACACAGCUGGUUCAGAACCCGACCCAGAACCAGUCCCGAAACCAGCCCCAGGUGCAGCUCAUCCUUAAAGACUGUGAGGUGGAGCACGGAGCACUGAGAGAGCUGCUUCCCAUCCUGCAUAUUGUCAAGCUGAGCCCCAGCAAAGCUCUGCUACUUCAGCUGGUGGACCAUGUGUGUGAGGGGAUUGAAGAGGGAGUGCUGAGGAACGCAGUAUCCCUGUGCAGAGCCCUGGAUGGGGAGCUGGACCUCAGUGAGACCAGGCUGAACCAAAAGGCCUGUGGAUCUCUGGCCCUGGUUCUGGAACACUCAGAGGGGCUGUCAGAACUGGACCUCAGCCACUGCCAACUCACAGACCGCCAUCUACAGCCCCUGCUCACACACCUGCACAAAGUUGAAGUCCUUGACCUGAGUCACAAUGACAUCACUGAUGCUCUGACCGACAGAAUUCUCCAACUGGUCUCCACCAACACUUCAAUCCGCACCGUACGGCUCUUCAGCAACAGAAUCAAGGACAGAAGUCCGUUCCUGACAGACAAGAGGUUUGACAUCUGGUGA